GAUGAAGAACGUAUCGAAAUGCGAUAAGUAAUGUGAAUUGCAGAAUUCAGUGAAUCAUCGAAUCUUUGAACGCACAUUGCGCCCGCCAGUAUUCUGGCGGGCAUGCCUGUUCGAGCGUCAUUUCAACCAUCAAGCCCCCGGCUUGUGUUGGGGACCUGCGGCUGCCGCAGGCCCUGAAAACCAGUGGCGGGCUCGCUGUCACACCGAGCGUAGUAGAUUUUCAUCUCGCUCAGGGCGUGCUGCGGGUUCCGGCCGUAAAAAGCCUUAUUUACCCAAGGUUGACCUCGGAUCAGGUAGGAAGACCCGCUGAACUUAAGCAUAUCAAUAAGCGGAGGA
rnacentral:misc_RNA from 1 species